rnacentral:rRNA from 1 species
UUGCACAAUGGCGAAAGCCUGAUGCAGCAACGCCGCUUGAAGGAUGACGCCUUCGGGUUGUAACCUCUUUUAGUAGGGAAGAAGCGAAAGUGACGGUACCUGCAGAAAAAGCACCGGCUAACUACGUGCCAGCAGCCGCGGUAAUACGUAGGGUGCAAGCGUUGUCCGGAAUUAUUGGGCGUAAAGAGCUCGUAGGCGGUUUGUCGCGUCUGCUGUGAAAUCCCGAGGCUCAACCUCGGGCUUGCAGUGGGUACGGGCAGACUAGAGUGCGGUAGGGGAGAUUGGAAUUCCUGGUGUAGCGGUGGAAUGCGCAGAUAUCAGGAGGAACACCGAUGGCGAAGGCAGAUCUCUGGGCCGUAACUGACGCUGAGGAGCGAAAGCAUGGGGAGCGAACAGGAUUAGAUACCCUGGUAGUCCAUGCCGUAAACGUUGGGCGCUAGAUGUAGGGACCUUUCCACGGUUUCUGUGUCGUAGCUAACGCAUUAAGCGCCCCGCCUGGGGAGUACGGCCGCAAGGCUAAAACUCAAAGGAAUUGACGGGGGCCCGCACAAGCGGCGGAGCAUGCGGAUUAAUUCGAUGCAACGCGAAGAACCUUACCAAGGCUUGACAUACACCGGAAACGGCCAGAGAUGGUCGCCCCCUUGUGGUCGGUGUACAGGUGGUGCAUGGUUGUCGUCAGCUCGUGUCGUGAGAUGUUGGGUUAAGUCCCGCAACGAGCGCAACCCUCGUUCUAUGUUGCCAGCGGGUUAUGCCGGGGACUCAUAGGAGACUGCCGGGGUCAACUCGGAGGAAGGUGGGGAUGACGUCAAAUCAUCAUGCCCCUUAUGUCUUGGGCUUCACGCAUGCUACAAUGGCCGGUACAAAGGGCUGCGAUACCGUAAGGUGGAGCGAAUCCCAAAAAGCCGGUCUCAGUUCGGAUUGAGGUCUGCAACUCGACCUCAUGAAGUCGGAGUCGCUAGUAAUCGCAGAUCAGCAACGCUGCGGUGAAUACGUUCCCGGGCCUUGUACACACCGCCCGUCAAGUCAUGAAAGUCGGUAACACCCGAAGCCGGUGGCCUAACCC